AUACGGAGGAUCCGAGCGUUAUCCGGAUUUAUUGGGUUUAAGGGGUGCGUAGGUGGUUUGAUAAGUCAGCGGUGAAAGUUUGCAGCUUAACUGUAAAAAUGCCGUUGAAACUGUCGGACUUGAGUGUAAAUGAGGUAGGCGGAAUGCGUGGUGUAGCGGUGAAAUGCAUAGAUAUCACGCAGAACUCCGAUUGCGAAGGCAGCUUACUAAGCUACAACUGACACUGAAGCACGAAAGCGUGGGGAUCAAACAGGAUUAGAUACCCUGGUAGUCCACGCAGUAAACGAUGAUUACUAGCUGUUUGCGAUACACAGUAAGCGGCACAGCGAAAGCGUUAAGUAAUCCACCUGGGGAGUACGCCGGCAACGGUGAAACUUAAAGGAAUUGACGGGG
rnacentral:rRNA from 1 species